rnacentral:lncRNA from 1 species
AGAGGAUUGGGCAGCACAUCUGAUCAGUAAGGGCUAAGACAGAGAGGACUUCAGGAGGAGGAGGGGAAGGGGAAGACGUGCUCGCCACGCAGGCGGAUGGCAGAGCAGCUUGGCAGAGCCUUUCCGCAGUGAAGGGUUCAACUCUGCCUGGGGGCAGAGGCAGGUGAAAUGGAAUCUAGAACAGUGAGGGCAUAAGCAGAUUCCACAGUCUAAUGGUGACUUCGAAGGACUAAGUAUGGGACUGUGAGGAGGAGCUCCCUGCAGACAACUACCCAUCAGAGAAGCAGUAAAAUCAACCCCCCAACUCCCUUCCACCCAGAGAGAUAUCUAGAGUGUCAAAUCACCUGGAGGGCUUGUGACGCCACAGAUCACUACAUCUCAUGCCAAGUUUCUGAUUCAGUAGGUCUGGAGAGGGCCAGAGGUUUUGCAUUUCCAACAAGCUCCCAGGCGAUGCCCAUGUUGGCCAGCCCCUUCAAGUUCAGAGGGAUCAUGCAAAUGAGGCCCCAAGGCCUGCCUGGAGCAUCUCAGAGUUCCCCCAGAUGCAAUCAUGGAUACGCUCUGAAAGAUUGUUUACAGACUGCUUGGUGACUGUGCAACUUUUUUUCUUUUAGUACCAACAAGUGGUACCAAGCGCCAUUUCUCUUUGAAUAAUCCCAGGGCUUCGUGCCAGUGUUUGAUUUUGCAAUCAGUCCUUCUGGUAGCACUUUAAAUUAAUGUUCGCACAUAUGGAUUUAAUUGGAAUUUAAUAAGACACUGCAUAAGUAAAAACCAUGUGAUACUAAAAACAUAUUUACUGAAGAUUAACCACCAUGGAGAUACAAAUCUAUUAUGUAGAAACCCCAAUAAAUAUUUUUAGAAUGUUAAAUCAUGUGUAAACAUUGUGUGUUGCUUCAAGUAAAUCCAGAUCUUCAGCCUCAUUGGUUAUUCUCUCUUCUAAGUAAACGUAGCUGUUUACUACAACGAACUUCAUUUUCUUCUUAGACAAUUGGUUUGGCAAAAUUCACAGUCAGGGAAAAAUAUCCUCAACCUUAAUGUAAAGCAGACUUUCUCCUUCACUAAGUCUGGGGUGGCACCUGAGAAUUUGCAUUUCUAACGUGGUCUUGGGUGAUGCUAAUGGUCUGGGGACCACACCCUGAGAAGCACUGAUAUCAAGCAUUGUCUUGUUUUAAGAUUAAAGGAAGACUUUGGUUUCCUCUGCCCUAAAGUAAUGUCUGGUCUUAGGUAAAAUCUGCAGUAACAGGUUAAAGACGGCCACACAUGCUUUGUCACUGUCCACAUUGAGAGCUGUCAUGCUGUGGGUUAGCCCAAGCAGAGAUCUCCACGUGAAUAAGAGUCGAGGCCACCGGCCAACAGCCUUGGCUGAGUUCCCAGGCAACAAUGAGCACCACUUGCCAGCCAUGUGAGUGAGCCUUUCUGGACAUGGAGCUGCCUCAGUCUACACAACAUGGAGCAGAGAUGAGCCAUUUCUGCUAAGCCCUGCCCAAAUUACAAAACCAGACUAAAUAAAUUGUUGUUUUAAACUGU